CCUACGGGUGACAGCAGUGGGGAAUAUUGGGCAAUGGGCGCAAGCCUGACCCAGCAACGCCGCGUGAAGGAAGAAGGCUUUCGGGUUGUAAACUUCUUUUUAGAGGGAAGAGCAGAAGACGGUACCUCUUGAAUAAGCCACGGCUAACUACGUGCCAGCAGCUGCGGUAAUACGUAGGUGGCAAGCGUUGUCCGGAUUUACUGGGUGUAAAGGGCGUGCAGCCGGGAAGACAAGUCAGAUGUGAAAUCCCGCGGCUCAACCGCGGAACUGCAUUUGAAACUGUUGUUCUUGAGUACCGGAGAGGUCAUCGGAAUUCGUGGUGUAGCGGUGAAAUGCGUAGAUAUAAGGAAGAACACCGGUGGCGAAGGCAGAUGACUGGACGGCAACUGACGGUGAGGCGCGAAAGCGUGGGGAGCAAACAGGAUUAGAUACCCCAGUAGUC
rnacentral:rRNA from 1 species